GGCAUUUCUGGGGUAACGCACCCUGGAAUCGGGCUCCCUCCUCUGUGGUUCUGGGUGCGUCACCGUGAGAACCACA
rfam:Myotis davidii contig86043, whole genome shotgun sequence.